AACUAUAUACUUCUAAUUCCAACAUAUAAGAGAGUUACUCAUGAUAUGCAUAACUAGCAUAAGAGAGUUAAUAGAUAGUGUGUAGGAAGAAAAUUGAUUUGUACAAUUCCUCUAGAGUUGUGGGGAUCUUUCUAACUUCUCAAGUUCAAGGGGAUCCAAGCUUCGAACACAACAAAGAAAAACUCAAGGUGAGCAGAUUUCAAGGACUGCAUGGAAGCUUGAGUUUCAAAGACUUAUAAAAUUUCCAAUUUCAAGAGUACUUGAAGAUUGGUGGUGGUGUGGUUUCUUAUGAUUGAAGAUCAGGGUUAUCGAGUGAAUCUUUGAUAGUGUUAGCUUUUUUCAAAACUUUUCUUAAGUGUUUCAAAAUUGGUCAAAUUCUGAUGAGUUCAGAAACUGACUCAUAGUUUAUUUUCAACAAAUAAAACAAACACACACACGCGCGCGCGCAUUCACACACACAGAGAGAGAGAGAGAGAGAGAGAGAGAGAGAGAGAGAGAGAGAGAGAGAGAGAAUAAUAUGUUUUGAAAUAGAACAAUUAGUGUUCACUCAAACUGUAAAAGGUUGAAGAAUUAGAGGAGCGAUUGACAUGAACAAAGAAACGCACACAUAAAAUCUGAGAAUCAAUUUCAAGAGAAUAAACACUGAAGAAAUUAACAGAGAUAGAAAAAACUCAUUGCAGUAACUUUCAACCUCGGUCCUUCAAUCUUGUGGAACACGGUGCUUGUUGUGAUCUAAAACCUAAAGUAGAAACGAAUCAAAAGCUUAAAUCGUCAAUGGUAUCAUCAACCCGAUUAAAAUUGAAUAUUAACUAUGGAAUUUUAAGUAGAAUCGUCAAUCGAAAUCGAUAUCAAAUUGAGAAAGAACAUAUCAAAUAAGAAAUUGAAGAAAAAAACAAAUAGCAUACCUUUGUUGAAUGUGGCCGGAAUUUGGAGGCGAUGAGGGCUUAGAUACUUGGUGAAUAAUAUUGUUGUGAUUAUGGGUUUAAGAGAUUUGGUGUUGUUAAAACUUGGUUGAACAAUGAAACAGGAUACUUGGCCAGGUCCUAUUUUUCCAAAGCAAUAGCAAUUAGCUUGGCCCUAUUUUUAAGUUGGCAAUGGAAGUUGGAACACGACAGACACUAUAUUUUUUUUGUUAGUCGUAUGUAAACAUCGUGUACUCUAUAGAACAUCAUUGUAAUGGUGCAUUGAAAAUACAUUAAGCUUUAAUCAUUAUUGACAUCAAUUAUGAUUUACAUUGGAAACAAACAAAGUGAUGGGAGGGAAAAUUUGAAUUCAAAUUUGAAAGGUAGUGCAGGGAUUAGUUUAGGAGUAAAUG
rnacentral:lncRNA from 1 species